rnacentral:antisense_RNA from 1 species
GGAAGGGAGGAAGCGUAGAAGGUGCCGAUGCACUUUUCCUCUCUCCAGCCCUCCUGACUGCUCCAAGAAUUUCAUCGAACAAGACUCAAAGAGGCCCAGCUGCUCUGCGUUUUGAUUCUUCUCCCUCUCUCAGUCCACACUGACCUGGGAGGGGCUUCUCAAACACCACAUUUCCUAGCAUGCUGUGAGAAGAGGACUGUGAGCUAAGAAGGGAGAAAAGCCAAAUAAAAACACAGACAAACCAACCAACCAAGCACUGACGAGCCAGUAAAGAGGGAACUGUGGGGGAAUCAGGGCUGAGAGAAUCUCUGAUACAGCAGCGGAAAUAGGCACUCCCUCCUCAUCAACAAACACCUGACCUGGGUAGACCCUCUGCUUACCAAGAUCCAGUCCACCUUUUGACAUCAGCAUUCAUGCUGCCUCUUUUUACGAACCAAGCCAAAGUGGUCCCUUCCUCUGGAAAUUAUAGGAUACUUAAUGUACAUCAUAUCCAGCUUCCCGACUCCAGACUGUGGGAGAUGACACAGAGCCAGCCUGCCUGGAUGUGACUCAGCUCUGCAACUUAUUAAAGACCUUUGGCAAAUCACCUAA